AACAGAAAGGAUUGGAAAAUAGUCGAUGCCAACGCAGAGGCUCUUGUUCUCGUAUGAGCCAUAGUUGUCUAUUGACUGAAGGUGGUGGAGAUAAUUCAACAAGAUAAUUUACAAUGUAAUUCAAGAGAUCUGUCUAGUCUGUUGGACUGUUAAGGCACCACACAAGGUUUGUCGACCAUUCUUUUCCUCACCGUCUUUUGAAUGACUAAUUCCUGAGAAUAGUAAACCGUUAUUGUUAAAGAAUAUACAGGUAAUCAGUGCUUUUUUGUAAAGAAAUAGGUGCCGGAGCUCAGUGAUGGAUUGCCUUUUAACAACUAAUAAAUAAAUAAUAAACUUUAAAAUACAAAAGUAACUUUUUCGCUGCAUUGAAAAAAUUACUUUUGUAUUUUAAAGUUUAUUAUUUAUUUAUUAGUUGUUAAAAGGCAAUCCAUCACUGAGCUCCGGCACCUAUUUCUUUACAAAAAAGCACUGAUUACCUGUAUAUUCUUUAACAAUAACGGUUUACUAUUCUCAGGAAUUAGUCAUUCAAAAGACGGUGAGGAAAAGAAUGGUCGACAAACCUUGUGUGGUGCCUUAACAGUCCAACAGACUAAGGGAUAGAUAAAGGUGAAUUUAAUUUAUAUCUUGAUCUAUAUAAGUUGAUUUACUGGACUAAAAAUCUAGAUAUUGGUAAAACUUUGCUAUUCUAUUCUAAAUCUAGUGUGACAUUCCAUAUUUUUUAUUCUGAUUUUAGAUAGAUCUUGAUUAGAUCUAGAUCCCAUAUGUAUAGGACUUAGCACUAGAUCUCUAGAAAUUAUUGUAUAUGAUGCUAGAUCUAGAAAAUCUAGACUUGAUCAUAGAAAUCUUCAAGAAAAAUAAUGUGCUAACCUAGACAGAUCUCUUGAAUUACAUUGUAAAUUAUCUUGUUGAAUUAUCUCCACCACCUUCAGUCAAUAGACAACUAUGGCUCAUACGAGAACAAGAGCCUCUGCGUUGGCAUCGACUAUUUUCCAAUCCUUUCUGUU